UACGUAGGGUGCAAGCGUUAAUCGGAAUUACUGGGCGUAAAGCGUGCGCAGGCGGUGAUGUAAGACAGGUGUGAAAUCCCCGGGCUUAACCUGGGAACUGCGCUUGUGACUGCAUCGCUGGAGUGCGGCAGAGGGGGAUGGAAUUCCGCGUGUAGCAGUGAAAUGCGUUAGAUAUGCGGAGGAACACCGAUGGCGAACGGCAAUCC
rnacentral:rRNA from 1 species